AUAUCGUUUAUUGAGAUAGUCCUAAUUCGUGUCUUUGCCAUUUGAUGUAUAAGAGUCAUCCAUACAUCGAUUCUUUUGCCCUGAAAGGUUUCUUCCAAAGAUUGACUUUCAGGGUAUAUUUCCAACACAAAGAAACAGACCAACACCUCGACCUCGUGCCUGCCUGCUGAUAGGGAUUUACUACUCAUGUGAACAGACUUAAAUCUCCUAUUUUACUUGCAAGAAUCACAAGGUUAUUGUAGUAUAAACGGAUCUCGCAAGGUCGUCUCCACAAGGAUUAUUAAAUAAUUCAAAACUAAUCAGAUUCCAUUUAAUUAUUGUAAAGUAGAAAUUGAAGUGAUUGAUUUUAUAACCUAAUUAAACUAAAAACGAAAUUAAUGAAUUAAAAUAAACAAUUUGCAAUAUUAGAGCUAGAGAGAAAAUAAAACAGUUUUGGGAGAAUCAAAUUAAGAAAGCACUAGGGUUCCACCAUCACCUAGCAAUCCUAUGAAUUUUUACCA
rnacentral:lncRNA from 1 species